rnacentral:rRNA from 1 species
UACGUAGGGGGCAAGCGUUGUCCGGAAUUAUUGGGCGUAAAGCGUGUGUAGGCGGAUCGUUAAGUGUCUUGUGAAAUCCCACGGCUCACCCGUGGAACUGCUGGGCAUACUGGCGAUCUUGGGCCAACUAGGGGCAACUGGAACAAGCGGUGGAGCGGUGAAAUGCGUAGAUAUCGCUUGGAACGCCAAAGGUGAAAACAGGUUGCUGGGGUUGUGCCGACGCUGGAGAACACGGAAAGCCAGGGGAGCAAACGGG